CAGUCGCCGCGGUAAUACGAAGGGGGCUAGCGUUGCUCGGAAUCACUGGGCGUAAAGGGUGCGUAGGCGGGUCUUUAAGUCAGAGGUGAAAUCCUGGAGCUCAACUCCAGAACUGCCUUUGAUACUGAGGAUCUUGAGUUCGGGAGAGGUGAGUGGAACUGCGAGUGUAGAGGUGAAACUCGUAGAUAUUCGCAAGAACACCAGUGGCGAAGGCGGCUCACUGGCCCGAUACUGACGCUGAGGCACGAAAGCGUGGGGAGCAAACAGGAUUAGAUACCCCCGUAGUCCCUGUCUCUUAUAC
rnacentral:rRNA from 1 species